rnacentral:rRNA from 1 species
GACGAACGCUGGCGGCGUGCUUAACACAUGCAAGUCGAGCGGUAAGGCCCUUUCGAGGGUACACGAGCGGCGAACGGGUGAGUAACACGUGGGUGACCUGCCCUCAGCUCUGGGAUAAGCCUGGGAAACUGGGUCUAAUACUGGAUAUGACUCCACGGUGCAUGUCGUGGGGUGGAAAGCCUUGUGCGGCUGAGGAUGGGCCCGCGGCCUAUCAGCUUGUUGGUGGGGUGAUGGCCUACCAAGGCGACGACGGGUAGCCGGCCUGAGAGGGCGACCGGCCACACUGGGACUGAGACACGGCCCAGACUCCUACGGGAGGCAGCAGUGGGGAAUCUUGCGCAAUGGGCGAAAGCCUGACGCAGCGACGCCGCGUGAGGGAUGACGGCCU